rnacentral:rRNA from 1 species
CACGUAGGGCGCGAGCGUUGUCCGGAAUUAUUGGGCGUAAAGAGCUCGUAGGCGGCCUGUUGCGUCCGCUGUGAAAGCCCGGGGCUUAACCCCGGGUCUGCAGUGGAUACGGGCAGGCUAGAGGUAGGUAGGGGAGAAUGGGAUUCCCGGUGUAGCGGUGAAAUGCGCAGAUAUCGGGAGGAACACCGGUGGCGAAGGCGGUUCUCUGGGCCUUACCUGACGCUGAGGAGCGAAAGCGUGGGGAGCGAACAGG